GGAUGAAGAACGCAGCGAAAUGCGAUAAGUAAUGUGAAUUGCAGAAUUCAGUGAAUCAUCGAAUCUUUGAACGCACAUUGCGCCCGCCAGUAUUCUGGCGGGCAUGCCUGUCCGAGCGUCAUUUCAACCAUCAAGCCCCGGGCUUGUGUUGGGGACCUGCGUCCGACGCAGGCCCUGAAAACCAGUGGCGGGCUCGCUGUCCACACCGAGCGUAGUAACUAACCUCGCUAUGGAGUGGCGCGGGCGCCUGCCGUAAAACCCCCAAUUUCACAAGGUUGACCUCGGAUCAGGUAGGAAUACCCGCUGAACUUAAGCAUAUCAAUAAGCGGAGGA
rnacentral:misc_RNA from 1 species